UUUUAGCCCCGAUAGAAGUGGAAAUCAUUUUGAGGCCUUUCGCCGAAAAAGAUUACUUCACAUAAAUUCUAUUUUUAUAGGAGUUCAGUGAAUAUCAUUUGAAACGUAUAGCGGGAUUAGCU
rnacentral:sRNA from 1 species